UAUUGAAAAACAAAAAACAAGUGGUUAUUUGAUUUUCGUUUUAAAAUACAAAAAUUAAAAUUGAAAUACAAGGCGUUUUUCCUUUUCAUGAUCAAAAAGGGAUAUACGAUUUUUUUUUUAAAUGCUUUGAUUUUCGUUUUAUAUUUAGAAUAACAAGAAAGUAAAAUCAGUAAGAGACAGAAACGAAAAAGGUCCGUUUUUUCAUUUUCUGAGACCGGAAGUGGUCAUCAGCAAGUGUGGAGCCAAACGACAACAAGAUUCUCAGAGGGCGGAGCCAGAGAGCAGCGAUUGGUCAGACCAAAGAUAGAAGACAGUGCGCUUGUAUCCAGUCUAUGUAUAUCUAUGGUCGGCAAGUCUGGUAGCAUCUCUGGCUGCUGUUGACCUUGUUUUUGGAGUAAAACAUGAUUGAAGCUGAAUUAGUGAGGAUGACUCCUGCUCCUGUCAUCUCUAAGGUCCUCACACAUCUUUACCUGCACAUGAGGAAAAUCACUCCUGUAGAAUGCAGAUGUUCAGAGGGAGAUGAUGCCACAUCUGGUCCAGCUGAUGGAAGGUCUUGAAGUUCUCUGACUGGCCUCGACUGAAGAUGGUCGUCUCACUGGAUUUAAGGUUCAGAUGCUCAGUAACAAACUCCACCAAUGAGCCAACAGGGAAGCUUUAGGUUUAUUAAAUGUUGCUAUGAAGGUUUCGCUGUUUUUCUUUGUGAAUGCAAUGUGCUCCAACUGAAACUUGAAUUAGAACUUAGAAGUAAAUCCUUCCAUCUGAAAGGAUUUAGUUGCAUUAAUAACCUCAUAACAUUCUAAUUUUUCUUCCAGUCUUGGUUGGAAAUAGAAUCUCUGUAUUGAUUCAGGUAAAAACUGAACUUCACAGCAUGUCGGAGCAAAACAACCAGAUGAAAACUGUGAUGGUGUUGGAUUGUCAGACUGUAAUGUUGCAGCUCAAAGCAGCUUUUCUAGCUCAGUUCAUUCUGACAUUCAGCUAUGAAUCAACACAGCAGAUGAUGAUCCAUGCUGUGGAAGUCUCACAUCUCCUGAUUUAAUGGAGCUGCUUUGCACUUUUUACACUGUUUAUUCACCAACACUUCAUUUAAUAAAAGUCCCAUCUAGUUUUCAUGAGGAAUGUGAUGUUUUAAUUUCUCUGUGAAUAACUGCAGUCUAAUGCAGCAGCUGGAGUUGUAACAUCUGUCCUGAUAUUGAUCAUGAAGUAUUGAUCAGAAUACUUAUGGUCAGCAUUCAUCCCUGAAGUUUUACAUUAAAAUCUUUACUUG